rnacentral:rRNA from 1 species
UACAGAGGGUGCAAGCGUUAAUCGGAAUUACUGGGCGUAAAGCGCGUGUAGGCGGUCUUGUAAGUCGGGUGUGAAAGCCCGGGGCUCAACCCCGGAAGUGCACCCGAUACUGCGAGACUGGGGUACUGAAGAGGAGAGCGGAAUUCCCGGUGUAGAGGUGAAAUUCGUAGAUAUCGGGAGGAACACCAGUGGCGAAGGCGGCUCUCUGGGCAGAUACCGACGCUGAGACGCGAAAGCGUGGGGAGCAAACAGG